UACGUAGGGGGCAAGCGUUGUCCGGAAUCAUUGGGCGUAAAGAGCGCGUAGGCGGUCCGGUAAGUCCGCUCUGAAAGUCCGGGGCUCAACCCCGGGAGGCGGGCGGAUACUGUCGGGCUAGAGUCCGGAAGAGGCGAGUGGAAUCCUGGUGUAGCGGUGAAAUGCGCAGAUAUCAGGAGGAACACCAAUGGCGAAGGCAGCUCGCUGGGACGGUACUGACGCCUGAGGCGCGAAAGCGUGGGGAGCAAACAGGGA
rnacentral:rRNA from 1 species